GCUCCUGGAUUUGUUUUUUUCAGGAUUUAAACCCUGGAUUUCAGGAGACACAAAGGCAGGCUCUUGAACCGAUGCCAUGAUCUGCUCGGGCUGCCCCAUGUGGCCGAGUUCAAGGUUGUUCAGGGAUCUCCGGCUGUUUUGGCAGAGCCUGCUGCAUUUCAGGACCUCCAAGCCGCCUUCUCCGGGCUGCAGGAGAGUUGGGUGAACGCUGCCGGAGGUAGGUCCGUGUUGCUGCUCCUCCAGGCAGAGUCUCUUCAAACCUGCUGAGCAGUGCUUCAAGGUCGCUGGCGGCACAGGCUGAGCCAAAACGGACUCGUGGUGUUCUCUGAACAUGCUGAGGGGUCGCAGGCUCUUGGAUCACUGAAGCAGAGGAUAUGCUGGUAACUUGUAUGGGAGGCACACAGUGGUGCUCCAGUGAGGCCAGUUUCAACAAGCAAACGAUUCUGCAGAGGAGCAAAACCUGGUCAACAGUUAUGAGUUAGAAUGACAGGGGAGACUGAAAGCUUCUGGCCUGCCCUCCAUGGGAAGCUUUCUCCUUGUUCGGGGCAGCACAAGAGGGCCUUUGACAGGUUCUGGUUGCACAGGGAUGUGGUGCUAAGAGCUCAGACCUCUGCAGGUGGGAACUGUUCGUGGUCUCUUUCGGGGGGAUCCCAUGGAAACCAAGGGAGCUAUUUCUGGAGCCUGCUGAACCAGCAGCUGAGAUAUGAGGCCAGAAGCAGCAAGUCCACGCGAUUUGAAUUACAGCAUAGUUUGCUUUGGGAUUUUCUUAGCUGAAAGAGCUGACCCUGCCUGUACGGUGUAGGAGAGCAGAGGAUUUAUGGAGUGCCAGCAGAGUUCUGCUUCUAACUGCCUGCAGAACACUUGUGGACAACCACAAGUUUGUUACUGACAUCACAAUUUCGAUGCUUAAAAACGAGAGAAAAAGAGACUUUCUACAUUACAGGGCAGAGGGCGCAGGGCGCUGCCAUCUGCUGCCUCGUUCCGCGGCGCACGUCCCGCCCGAGCCCGCACUGCCGCGGCCAGAGCGGGGCCUGCGCUCAGCCUUUCCGCCCAGCGCCUGCUCUUUCCGCGUCCUUUCGCUGCCACCUAGCGGCAUCGAGCGGAAGUGCAGCUGCGGGGCUGAGCUCCAAGGCACCGGCACUGCAGUGACAUUUCACAACCAACUGUUCAAAGUCCUGCAUCUCUUCCCCCUUACUGCCCUUCCGCUGAUGCCUUCGAGGGGUGACACCGGGUGCAUGGUGGCUAUUGAAAUCUGAGUCCAGAGCCUGGUCAAUACCUUGCCUAUUAGAGGCCCAAUUAAUGUACCCUUUGCUCUUUGAACUUUGGGGGUAAGUUUGUACCACUGUUUUAAGUUGUCUUCUGCUGUUGUUCUCUACUACAAGCUGCAAGUAUCUCUACUGCACAAAACUCUUGAGGAGCUUAGAAAUACCUUUUUAAUACUUGGUGUUCAUACUGAGUCCUGAGGUUACUGUAAAGUCAGUCAGAUGUGGAGCACUCAAUGCUGUGUAUCAGCCUGGAGUGGCUGUGAAGCCCUCUCUCAGCAGCAAUGGAAAACGUCUGCCUGCUGCCUAGAAAGGAGGCUGAAGACUUCAAAGGCAAAGUUUCCUCCUCAGAGCGAGCAUUUGUGUGCAACAGCUUUUGAAAGUGUAACCUUUUCUUUCUCCAAGCAGGACCCCAAGUGCUUCCAUACAGGUUCGUGCUGGUAUGGACUUCAGCUGUGCAAAUGGUAUGGCAACCAAUGCAAACUGGGCUCAUAAAGAGCUGGAGAACAGACAAACUGGCUUCAAACAGGCCAAUAUUAAACCACUGGAACUAGUUCAAAUAAACCUUAGGUCUUGCUUCAUCUGAAAGGCUUCAGGCCUCCCAAACUAAACAGCUAAUUAGGUCAGACUCUGCACACAAGGAUCUGAGGCAAGUGGAACAUGUGAACGCUCACCAGGAAGGGGUCUGAUGGUGAGUCCAGCAUGCACACGUCCAGCCAGCACGGGGCUGAAGCUCAGCAGCUCCAACCACAGCCCCAGGCCCCCCAUUCAGAUCUGCUGCUUUAGCAUCCUUUUCCAGGCUGCAGAAAGCGAAAGCUUAAGGGGAAGAAAUAAGCCAAGUACGCAGAGAGCAACAGUUCAAACAUUUUACUAAAUCGAUUCACACCAUUGCAAAAUUGUAAAUAGAAUUAAGGACAAGAGGGCUUCUGCAGGUGUUUUCCUUCCAGAGUCAUCAUGAAGACAAUAAACAAACACAAACCAGGUCGAUAGCAUCUGCUCUUUAAAAAAAAGACUGGAACGCCACUCGGGGGUUGGUCAAGCACCACGACACAGUUACAAAAGGGGGCAGCCUGUUCCUUUCACGAGUAAAAGACUACAUACUCCUACCAGCUUCCUGCCUCAGCUCAUACUUCAGUAAAAUAAAACUAUAAAAUCUCCUAGAUUACACUAAAGUCAGACAAUGCCUGCAGUACAGUGCAUUAACAGCAGUAAUGCCAGCUAUCAGUGCCAACAGAAA